rnacentral:rRNA from 1 species
UACCAGCUCUCCGAGUGGUAGGGAUGAUUAUUGGGCUUAAAGCGUCCGUAGCCGGCUUAGCAAGUUUCCUGUUAAAUUCAGCGACCUAAUCGUUGAGCCGCGGGAAAUACUACUAGGCUAGGAGGCGGGAGAGGUCGACGGUACUUCUGGGGUAGGGGUGAAAUCCUAUAAUCCCGGGAGGACCACCAGUGGCGAAGGCUGUCGACUAGAACGCGCUCGACGGUGAGGGACGAAAGCUGGGGGAGCGAACCGGAUUAGAUACCCGGGUAGUCCCAGCUGUAAACGAUGCGGGCUAGGUGUUGGGGUGGCUACGUGCCACUUCAGUGCCGCAGGGAAGCCAUUAAGCCCGCCGCCCUGGGGAGUACGGCCGCAAGGCUGAAACUUAAAGGAAUUGGCGGGGGAGCACCACAAGGCGUGAAGCUUGCGGUUC